rnacentral:lncRNA from 1 species
UUUUCAAAAACCAGAGAUAAGCCAUGACUCACCACUAUCAUCUUCAUCCAUUUUAAAUCAAAUUCACACAGAUCUUCAUCCAUUUCAAAAUCAUUUGUCUCUCUCGAUUAUGUACAGAAGACACACACACAAAGAAGUAUCAACUCCCUCACCGCUUCUCCCAAGCUCAGCCAACAAUCCCCCAUGUUUCUUCUCCGGUGGGACCACCGGCGGCAGUGGUUGAUUCUAGCUGCGACAUCCCCACCCACUUGAUCUCGUUCUCCGGCGGUAACUCCGAGCAACAGAACAUCCACACCUGUUACACUACAACCACCCUCUCAUUCCCUCUUUCACGAAUUCCCACACGACUCCUCCCUUCGACAGACGAAUGACCACCACGACCACCGUCCGGUGAUGGCGUGAAGACAGGACAGAGAAAGAGGCGAGUUGGAGGUGGUCCGACGAGGACCGUUGACGGCGACAGCGCCGUGAGCAGCGGUCGUUGGCGGCGGCCGUGGGUGCGAUAGCAGUGGCGGUGGCCUACGUUGGUUCUCCCGAACAGUCACGGCAACCAAUCUUCUCCUCCGGAAAUGAGGUACCUGGUGAAGUAAAUAGAAUUUGUAAGAAAACAUUUUUAAUAUUUGAGUGCUCGGUUGACAAUUGCUAUUCAAAGUGUAUGAAAUGGAACCCAGGUGAUGAUCUCCAUCUACGAUCAAAGAUCACUCUCAUCAUCAUCAUCUAACAUCGUUAUAAUCAUUCACACCGGCUCUGCCGACUUCGCCGGCCGGAGUCCGGUCGGGUUUCUUUAAAGCGAUAGAACGAGGGUGAGAGAACGAAGGGGUUGGGGUGUCUUUGCUGGAGAAACUGUCGCCGGCAACCUCCGGAAAAGCGGCGCCGGUGGCCAGAGAAUAGAGAGAGGGAAUCGAGAUAGUGGGGGUGAGAGGAGGUGUGCGUGUGAUGGAAUCCAUGUCGAGCGGCGAGUGGCAGCGGCGAGCGGCAGCGGCAGUGGUGGUGUGGAUCGGCAAUGGUGGUGCGGCAGUGGUGGUGCCGGAAGUGGAGAAGAUGAUACAGAGGUGUUAUAUUCUUUACUGAAUGGUAUUUUUUUUCUAAAUGGUGUUAUUUUCUUUUCAUUAAUGGUGUUUUUUUUUCUUUUCAGUAAUGGUGUUUAUUUUAUUUUCUGAAUGGUGUUAUUUUUUCUGAAUGGUGUUAUUUUGUUUACUGAAUGGUGUUAUUUUUUGUUUACUGAAUGAUGUUAUAUUGCU